rnacentral:rRNA from 1 species
AGAGUUUGAGUCCUGCGUCAGGAUGAACGCUGGCGGCGUGCUUAACACAUGCAAGUCGAACGAAGCGGUUACAGGGAUUCCCUUCGGGAGGAACGGUAAUUGUCUGAGUGGCGGACGGGUGAGUAACGCGUGGGCAACCUGCCCCAUACCGGGGGAUAACAGCCGGAAACGGCUGCUAAUACCGCAUACGCCCAGGAGGCUGCAUAGCUUCCUGGGGAAAACUCCGGUGGUAUGGGAUGGGCCCGCGUCUGAUUAGCUCGGUUGGCGGGGUAACGGGCCCACCAAGGCGACGAUCAGUAGCCGGCCUGAGAGGGCGGCCGGCCACAUUGGGACUGAGACACGGCCCAGACUCCUGCGGGAGGCAGCAGUGGGGAAUAUUGCACAAUGGGGGAAACCCUGAUGCAGCGACGCCGCGUGGGCGAUGAAGUAUCUCGGUAUGUAAAGCUCUAUCAGCAGGGAAGAAAGUGACAGUACCUGAUUAAGAAGCCCCGGCUAACUACGUG